rnacentral:misc_RNA from 1 species
AACCAUAGAAACCUGCGGAGUACCUGCGGAGGGAUCAUUAUAGUAUAUGGAAUCUCCAUUCUAUAAACCCACUCUGCGUAUCUUGUAACUGUUGCUUCCAUGGGACUUGGUUCCGCCACACCGGCUUCACGGCUGGUGAGCGCCCAUGGAAGGAGAAACAAAACUCUUCUUUGAAAUGUAGUCAGUCUGAACAAGUUUUUAUAAACGUUGAAACUUUUAACAAUGGAUCUCAGAUCGGAA